rnacentral:rRNA from 1 species
CACGUAGGGCGCAAGCGUUGUCCGGAAUUAUUGGGCGUAAAGAGCUCGUAGGUGGUUUGCUGCGUCCGCUGUGAAAACCCAAGGCUUAACCUUGGGCUUGCAGUGGAUACGGGCAGACUAGAGGUAGGUAGGGGAGAAUGGAAUUCCCGGUGUAGCGGUGAAAUGCGCAGAUAUCGGGAGGAACACCAGUGGCGAAGGCGAGUCUCUGGACGACUCCUGACACUGAGGCACGAAAGCUAGGGGAGCAAACAGG